CCUACGGGAGGCAGCAGUGGGGAAUAUUGGACAAUGGGGGAAACCCUGAUCCAGCGACGCCGCGUGCGUGAAGAAGUAUUUCGGUACGUAAAGCUCUAUCAGCAGGAAAGAAAAUGACGGUACCUGACUAAGAAGCCCCGGCUAACUCCGUGCCAGCAGCCGCGGUAAUACGUAGGGGGCAAGCGUUAUCCGGAUUUACUGGGUGUAAGGGGAGCGUAGACGGCAGCGCAAGUCUGGAGUGAAAUGCAGGGGCCCAACCCCGGAACUGCUCUGGAAACUGUGAAGCUGGAGGGCAGGAGAGGUAAGCGGAAUGUCUGGUGUAGCGGUGAAAUGCGUAGAGAUCAGGAGGAACACCGGCGGCGAAGGCGGCUUACUGGACUGUAACUGACGUUGAGGCUCGAAGGCGUGGGGAGCAAACAGGAUUAGAUACCCUUGUAGUC
rnacentral:rRNA from 1 species